rnacentral:lncRNA from 1 species
AAGGACUCAAGAGUUCGGGGAAUUUGCAAUCUUCUUAGGCAGACGAGACAAAUCCACGGGAGCAAGGAAGCAAGUCUCACCGCAGAAUUCUUCAAACUCAUGAAUUCGCCGGCUACCUUCGUUUUCAGCAGCCCCUCCCUCUCCUGGCUCUGAGCCGCCGGUGGUCUCCAG